rnacentral:tmRNA from 1 species
GGGGUCGUUUGGAUUUGACAACAAAUACGAUGGGUUGUCAGCAUGCAGAGCCUUGUACGGCAGGCUCUUAAAUCAAUGACGUGCAAGCCAUAAUUGGCGAAUAUCAAUAUGCACUCGCUGCGUAGAAUUACUAUGUGAUUCUUGCUUAAUCCGCUGCCGUAGAGUGGUAGCCGACGAGUAUCCCGCUCAUUUUUCUGCCCAUAAAAAUGAGCAUCAUGGGGUAUCGUAAUUUGGGAUAGUUGCCUCCGACGCCUUUGAGAGCAGCGAAAAUUUAAAGGCUACGGACAUGGGUUGUGCGCGUUGCCACUGCCAAUGCCCCGACAAUUAAAGCAACGCUAAGCAUGUAGAAAGCAAUUGAUUGGUUUGUAUGGACGCGGGUUCGACUCCCGCCGACUCCAC